rnacentral:pre_miRNA from 1 species
CUUUUAUUGGAUAUCGAUGUCACAUGUCGUGAUUUUAUUGAAGAUUGACGUUAAUUAAGUGCACAAAAUUAAUGUCUAAUAAAAGCGUGAUAUAUGACGAUCAACGUCC